GAAACGAGGACGACUAACGGUAUAUUAACUCCACAAAAACUACGCAAUUCAAGAUGACUACUCCAAAUAUGUGCAAGAAGGUCAAGCUCACAUUCACCAAGAAGACAAAGAAGGGAACGGAGCCCUAGUCCUAAGCCAACAAAGCUUCAUAUUGGAAAACUGACUAAAAAUGUCACAAAAGACCAUGUUCAAGAGAUAUUUUCAUAUUUCGGAAAGGUUAGUAUUCAUUUCUGUCUGCACAUUGACACUUUAGCAUGUAGGUCAAUAUCACAAUAUCUUUUUAUAAUAUACUCAAAACAUUGAUUCUUAUUUCGAGCACACAAUCAUAGAAACCCUUUAAUAUAGAGUAAUUUACUAUUCUAGAAUACUUAAAAUCGAAUCCAGAAUACCGAAUCCUAUUCUAUUUUUAUUGUUAUUUAAAUAUGGGAAUUUUCCCACCAUAUUGAUGCAUUACAAUUUGAAAAUAGCAAAAUUGAUCGGAUUUUACUUUUACUCGGAAAUUAAUUUCUGCCUUGAUUUGUUCAGAAUUUAUGUGAUUCCUAAAUACUUACAAUAAAAUAAAUAAAUACAUUUUACACUUUAUUACAAAUUGUAAAAUACAAAUUAUAUGUAUGAAAAAACAUUGAAUCAUUAUUAAUGUGAGAGCGCAGAAAACACACAGGUCAGACCGAGGCCACUGCAAUUUAUGCGGUGUUCUUGGUAGGGCGCGUUGAUUAAUGGUGGAAACUAAAUUUAACGACUAUCAAGUAUGUCAAAUCUUAAUUCUCGUUAUAUAUCUACCCAGACUUAACGAUACGCGUUGCAUAAUGUUCACCAAUAGUUAAGGCCGGUAUGAGAACUGUGAACUUCCUUUUUUUUACUUUAUCGUUUACUAAAAUAGCGCCCGACACUUGACCAAACAUGUGUCGAGCUUGGACGAUAGGAACAGACAGGUUCAUCGGCGACUCGAAGUUUGAAAAAUGUGUAUUUUAUUGAGAGUACAAAAGAAAUGUAACAAAACGCCACGUUCUGCAUUAUAACUUUGUAUUGUUGGAGGCGUCGUAAACAGUUAAAUUUGAUCUAAAUUUAAUCGCUAGUAAUGAUUUUAACAUCUAACGUAGGGUGCAUAUCGUUUUCCGGGGGAACUCGAAGGCUGCGAGAGUCAUUUAAUUUAAAAUGAAGAAUGUUUCACGUAUUCCAAAAAUUUAAGAUUGUUGCAAACAUGUAAUCGAAAUAAUAAAUAUUAAAUAUCAAUAAUAUCAAUAAUAAAUAUUAAUAUUAGCGAACUAGAUAGUAAAAAAACGCAAAAAUGGUGCAAUAACGCGGUCUUCGCGUUAUGGAUAUGCAAGCUGGGUUUAACGGUGUUUGAUGUCUGUGGUUUUUGCAGGUUCUUUGCGGGAAAACACACAAGUAUGAUCAAACGAGAGAGAUUUUGUCGUGAGAGAAUACGAUCGUCGCUGAUUAAUAAAUUAGAAAUCCAAAAUACAGAAAUUGACUCACGGCGUCGAAAAGGCGGAAACCGAAUCCUGCUAUCGGAUCCUUUUGGAUUCGAAUACUUCAGGAUUUGGUAUUCUGCUUUGCCCAUCCCUAUAUAGGCUUACCAUAUAUAUAAAAAAAAACGGGAUAGUGCGGAUUUGACAUUGGUCCGAUUCAGAGACUUAGUAGUAUAGUAAUAUUCAACUCGUAUAUGAAUAUUAGUAAUAUUCAAAUAAUUGGAAAACGUGCACAGUGCACUUCCUUUUCAGCAUUUUGAAUAGUUUAGCAGCAUUACAGCUAAUUUUUGAUGCUAUGUUGAAUUGACGUAUUGCAUUAUGUAUAAUAAUUAUAACAUACCAAUAUAGUACAGUGGUUCCCAACCUCGUCAAAUUCGCCUAUUUUGGAACUUUAUUCCUUUAUUUACAUUUUAUUUCUUUAUUUACAUUUUAUUGAUAUUAAGUGAAGUAUUUGUGACUGCCAUACUGCAUGACCGAGACAUGUCUACCGGCCGGGGCGCUGGGACAGCUUGUCAAAAUUUGGACUGUCCCAGCUAAACCGGGAUGUACAGUAAGUCUGCAUAUAUGGCCAAAUCAAAAAAUAUUCUUAUAUUAAUAAUCCUUUGAUCCUUUGUGCCGAAACCACGGCAAGUUGGGCAUUAAGGGUACGGUAACUAAUAAGGCAACAAUAUUCAAAAUGGUUCUCUGGUCUCCACCAAGACGACGGUCACCACCAAGAAGACGUCGACAAAGAUCAAGCUCAAGUGAUUCGCGUUGAAAAUUUUCCAUCUGAUAACAACAACAGUCGAAUUUUUCGGGCGAUUUUAUAAUUCAAGAUGUCUUACAGAAUGUUAGCGCUGUGCCAGUCUGCAGAGAAUGGAAGGAUGUGAACUUUUUUUUAUCAUUUUUCAUUUUAUUGGGUCUAGUGUAUUAAAAUUGAAUAAUAUUGAAUGUGAAACAUUUUUUUCUGGUUAUUUCAUUAAACAAAUAUGACGGUG